AGUGAACGCUGGCGGCGUGCCUAAUACAUGCAAGUCGAACGGAGUGGCGCACGGGUGAGUCAUAUAUAGCUAAUUUGCCCCUUGCUGGAGGACAACAGUUAGAAAUGACUGCUAAUACCCCAUAGCAAGGGAUGAGACUAUAUCGUAUCAGCUAGUCGGUGGGGUAACGGCCUACCGAGGCUAUGACGCGUAACUGGUCUGAGAGGAUGAUCAGUCACAUUUGAACUGAGACACGGUCCAAACUCCUACGGGAGGCAGCAGUAGCGAAUAUUGCGCAAUGGGGGAAUCCCUGACGCAGCAACGCCGCGUGGAGGAUGACACUUUUCGGGGCGUAGAAUCCUUUUGAUAGGGGAGCGGUACCUAACGAAUAAGCACCGGCUAACUCCGUGCCAGCAGCCGCGGUAAUUC
rnacentral:rRNA from 1 species